GACGAACGCUGGCGGCGUGCUUAACACAUGCAAGUCGAACGGAAAGGCCCUGCUUUUGUGGGGUGCUCGAGUGGCGAAAGGGUGAGUAACACGUGAGUAACCUGCCCUUGACUUUGGGAUAACUUCAGGAAACUGGGGCUAAUACCGGAUAGGAGCUCCUGCUGCAUGGUGGGGGUUGGAAAGUUUCGGCGGUUGGGGAUGGACUCGCGGCUUAUCAGCUUGUUGGUGGGGUAGUGGCUUACCAAGGCUUUGACGGGUAGCCGGCCUGAGAGGGUGACCGGCCACAUUGGGACUGAGAUACGGCCCAGACUCCUACGGGAGGCAGCAGUGAGGAAUAUUGCACAAUGGGCGGAAGCCUGAUGCAGCAACGCCGCGUGCGGGAUGACGGCCUUCGGGUUGUAAACCGCUUUCGCCUGUGACGAAGCGUGAGUGACGGUAAUGGGUAAAGAAGCACCGGCUAACUACGUG
rnacentral:rRNA from 1 species